rnacentral:misc_RNA from 1 species
GAAAUGCGAUAAGUAGUGUGAAUUGCAGAAUUCAGUGAAUCAUCGAAUCUUUGAACGCACAUUGCGCCCUUUGGUAUUCCUUAGGGCAUGCCUGUUCGAGCGUCAUCUAAACCUUCAAGCCCUGCUUGGUGUUGGUUGCCUGUCCCUCCUCCGCGCGCGGACUCACCUCAAAUCCAUUGGCGGCCCCCGCGUCGGCCACGAGCGCAGCAGAAACGCGAACUCGUGAGCCCGUCCGGGCGGCUCCCAGAAGCUACACCCACCCAGUUUGACCUCGGAUCAGGUAGGGAUACCCGCUGAACUUAAGC